GAAGGACCCGAAAGCACCAAUGCCAUGGAUAGGCCUAUACGCUGCCGUAGCAUCUCUAAUAUGGACUCUUUCACUUGUCAUUGAUUUAGUGAUCUCUGUCCGCCAAAGAAAAUUUUGGUUCCCUUGCAGAUAUUCUUCUCUCAACUCUGCUUCCUUGACUGUGUUAGCCAUCACAGUGAAGUUGUCAAUGGAUCUAACUACCCCGAUGGAAGGUAGGUAUGAUCAAGACGCUAAAGGUAGUAGCUCUGCUUUCCUGUGUGUUUCAACCCCUCAUUUCAUGCCUUCUUUGGGAUCCAUGAGUGAUAGAGAUAUAAUAGUGAACUUGACAGCAUUGGGUAUCCUUAUAGUGACGCUUACCGUAAAUGUUAUCAUCCAAAUAUCCACAGGCGUAAUUGAAGAUAAUUUCUAAGUGGUGGUUGUCUUUUUGAACGUUUAUGCUUUCAUUGUAUUGAGUUCUGCUGCUUUAACGGUAUUUACAAGUAAAAGGUAUUUGGAACGCAAGUACAAAGAAUUGCAAACAAGAAUUUUGGCAGCGGAACUACAAGGAGAACAAAUAAUGGACUUUGACAAGUUAAAGUUGUGCGUGAAAAAGUACUGAGCGAUGACAGAAACAGGUAACCCUCAGUUUCUGAUGGCACGAUCUGAGGCCAGCGUUGUUUUAUUCAUGAUCUGCAUCUUUCGUUAUAUCGAUAACGGAAUAACGUUUGACGAACCCUAUGAGACAAAUACUCCUCCUGAUUAUAAAUGGUCAGUAUAUUUUGUUUAUUGGACUCAAUAUGUAGGCUUGACUCUUUGAACUGUCAUGUCUUCGGGAAGACUUUUAGUAGCUUUAAUUCUCAUUGUACGGAAUAUUAGAAAAUGUACCAUCUCUAGUAUUUCCUUAGAAAUAAAGAAUUACGGGAUCAAAAGAUUGGUAGAGUGGAA
rnacentral:lncRNA from 1 species